rnacentral:rRNA from 1 species
AAUGAACGUUGGCGGCGUGGAUUAGGCAUGCAAGUCGUGCGGAAAGGCUCCUUCGGGAGUACUCGAGCGGCGCAAGGGAGAGUAACGCGUGGAUAUCUACCCCCUGGACUGGGAUAGCGGCGGGAAACUGCCGGUAAUACCAGAUAACGUCUGCGGAACAAAGGUGUGAUUCCGCCGGGGGAUGAGUUCGCGUCCUAUUAGCUAGUUGGUAGGGUAAUGGCCUACCAAGGCAAAGAUGGGUACCGGGUGUGAGAGCAUGGCCCGGCUCACUGGGACUGAGACACUGCCCAGACACCUACGGGUGGCUGCAGUCGAGAAUCUUCGGCAAUGGGCGCAAGCCUGACCGAGCGACGCCGCGUGCGGGAUGAAGGCCUUCGGGUUGUAAACCGCUGUCAGAGGGGAGGAAAUGCAUGGGAGUUCUCUCUCAUGUUUGACCUAUCCUCAGAGGAAGUACGGGCUAAGUUCGUGCCAGCCGCCGCAGUAACAC